CCACUUUGAUACGUAGUCUACGG
rnacentral:siRNA from 1 species